rnacentral:misc_RNA from 1 species
GUUGUACCAUACUGACGCGUCUGCAACAACGACAAAGCUAACAACUUGACAAACUAGCAGAUAUUUAUGGUUUUUACGUGACUGGGUUGAUUUCUGUAUCCUUUUUCUCAGACCAACAAUCGUUAUUAUCGAAGUAAAGAUCUCGAUUUUCUGUUGACCGGAACUUAAGGGGCCGUACGCUUAAGGGGGUUGGUGGAGUGGAGUUGUUAUGCUGCUAAGGAAAGUUGUGUAGUAAAAGUAUUUUUUUAAAACCAUGUCUGAACUCUUCAGAUCGGCAAUGGGUUAUUUUAAUAGCAGUACAUAUGCAGCAGGAGCAGAAAAUGAGUUAGUUGGGCAAAUAGUGGAAUUAGGAAAUGUGAAGCUGCGAGUGAAAAAAGUCAUAGCAGAAGGAGGAUCGGCUUUUGUAUUCGUAGCUCAGGAUCCAAGUACGGGGAAAGAAUAUGCUCUGAAGAGACUUAUGGCAGCAGAUGAAAAUACAAACAGAAAUAUUGUACAAGAAAUAACAAUACUUAAGAAACUUUCAGGGCAUCCAAAUAUUCUUCAGUUUUUAUCAGCAGCCUGCAUUGACAAAACAAAAUCUGGCAAUGGGAUGACAGAAUAUCUGUUACUAACAGAACUCUGCCAAGGUGGAACACUAGUUGAUGUGCUGACUCAGCGUACAACACCGCUACCACCAGACAUAGUCUGUCGUGUGUUCUGGCAGACGUGCAAGGCUGUACAGCACAUGCACAGUCAGCAGCCCCCUAUUAUUCACAGAGAUCUCAAGAUAGAAAACCUACUGAUUGGCGAGGAUGGCAUGAUCAAACUGUGUGACUUUGGCAGUGCAACUACUGUAUCAUAUCAUCCAGAUCCUUCCUGGUCAGCUAACCAGAGAUCACUUUUAGAGGAAGAGAUGGCCCGUUACACAACACCCAUGUACAGGUCUCCAGAGAUGGUAGACACUUGGAACAACUAUCCUAUUACACAGGCAUCAGAUGUCUGGGCACUAGGAUGUAUUUUGUACACCUUAUGUUAUAUGAGACACCCAUUUGAAGAUUCAGCCAAACUGCGCAUAAUAAAUGGCAAUUAUACAAUUCCAAGUAGUGAUGCAAAAUAUUCAUGUUUCCAUGAAAUAAUUAGGGGUUGUUUGCAAGUGAAUCCGUUGCAGAGACUAACUGUGUCUGAUAUUUUGGAACGCCUUGCUGCAAUAGCGGAAACAAAAGGUUUCAACCUGAAGGAGCCCCUUUCACUUGAAGGAAAAAGGAUCAGUGCCAACAGUAGUCCAGCACAUACAGCUGGUGCUGCCCCUGCGGCAGCCGUGUCUCCUCCGACCACUAACCAUGUGACGGAGGACAAACCCCAGCGCCCACCACGCCCCCCGAGCUCCCCCAUCCCGACUUCCCACGGGCCGCCACCACAUAGGCCGGCCCCCCCUCCGUCAAGGCCGGCACCACCACCUGUUGGACAAGUUGCACAACAACAGGCAGCUGGAGGUGGCCUUUUCUCCAGUUUACGGGGAGGUGCUGGUAGUUUCUUGAAAAACCUUAGGGACACAUCGAGCAAAGUUAUGCAUACUGUGCAACAGAGCAUUGCGAGAUCUGAUAUUGAUUUUAGUUAUAUUACAUCCCGACUGGCUGUGAUGCCUUUCCCAGCAGAGGGCCUGGAAUCUGCAUAUCGUAGUAAUCAUGCUGAUGAUGUUAAGGCGUUACUAGAAACAAGACAUCCAGGUGGACGUUACGCUAUUUACAAUGUGUCUGGGCGCUCAUAUGCAGCGACCAAGUUGGGUGCUGGAAGAGUUGUUGAUUGCGGCUGGCCUUCACAUGGUGCUAGACGAGCACCACCUCUUCAUGCGCUUUAUACUCUUUGUAAUGAUAUGUAUGCAUUCCUGCAGAAGGAUCCAAAGAAUGUGUGCAUUGUACACUGCACUGAUGGAAAGGCAGCUUCAGCAACACUUGUGUGUGCAUUCCUAAUGUUUGUUAACAUGUUCAGGAGACCUGAAGAUGCUGCACAAAUGUUUGCUGUAAAAAGAAUGCCCCCCUGUCUUCAGCCAUCUGAAAUGAGGUAUCUCUACUACAUGAGCCAUGUACUUAAGGAGCCAUCCACACAUCCUCAUUUCAAACCUAUUACCCUGGUGUCUGUUACAAUACAGCCUGUUCCCUUAUUCACUAAGGUCAGAGAUGGUUGCAGACCUUUCGUAGAAGUGUACCAGGGAGAAGAGAGAGUUUUGUCUACAUUGCAAGAGUAUGAGCGGAUGCGGCUGUUUAACAUCGCUGAAGGCAAGGGCGCUGUUUUUCAGGUCACACUUCCCCUCAAUGUCACUGUGCUGGGUGAUAUUACAGUUGUUGCGUACCAUGCGAGGCAUACUCUUGGAGGUGUGAUGUCUCAAGGCCGUCCAACUGGAAUUAAAAUGGCACAGCUACAGUUCCAUACUGGAUUCAUUGGAGAAGAAGAAACUAGCUUAAGAUUUACAAAGAGUGAACUGGAUGAUUUGGGUGAUCCAGAACAUUAUCAGGAAAGGUUCACUGCCGUAGUGAACAUUUUUGUCAUGGAUGAGGAACGAACUCCUAGUCAGCAACCACCUUGGGUUGGCCACUCCUCAAAGAAAUUUACACCAGAUAUUCUAUUCUCUACAAAAAUUGAAAAAGAAGAAAACUUUGAAACAUUUGUUAAUCAGCCACCUCAGGGCUCACCUGCCACUGCCCCAAGAGUAAAACCACCACAGAGACCUGCACCUCCACCACAAGUGAGAGAGUAUAGAGAUGCCAGCCCAGAACUGCAAAGAAAGGAACACGAGGAAGACCAGAGGGGAGUUCCUGAUGGCUUGUCAAGUUCUCCAAAACCUACAUCAGAAUUGCCACAACAGCCAACUGUUGAGGCAAAUUUGUUGGACAUUGGAGGAGCAGGAGAUGGUGUGGAUCUGCUUAACAUUACUGCCAGUAUGGGUGGAGAGAAGAUAAAUAGCAGUGAUCAAACAGCUGAUUUGCUGGGUGGUUUAGGGAAAACAUCUAGUGGACUGGAGGACUUACUACAGGGCCCUUCAGUUGCACAAUCAGUGCCACAAAACAUGCUAUUUGACCCUUUUGGCAACAACCUACAGGGAGAUAGUGUGGGUAACAUCCCUAAUGUCCCUGUUCCUGGAGUGACACCUCGCCCAACAGCACCUAACCUUCUAGGAAGUUGGGAUAACUUCCAGAGUGCUCCCACAUACGGUAUUGGCCAAGGAUCACAGCCAUUAGGUCCAGGCUUAAUGCCAACAUCACCCAGUAUACCAAGAAAUGCCAGCACACCGAAUCUUGAGAGCAAGGCUCGGGAUCCUUUCGCGGAUUUGGAUACACUUCCUCAGCACACCAACAUUGGGUACAGAAGUUUAAUACACCAAGGAUAUUGGAGAACUGGCAGUAGCUGGAAGAAGGCAACCUUGGAGCUGGUCUUGGUGCAGGGUGGGCUGGUAGUUCCAAACCCACUACACCAAUGAAUGGCACGCCUAGAGCCGGUAGUCCUACAAAUGUCUUUUCUUCACCACAACAUAGGCCAGCAAGUUGGGCAGCACAGGGGACACAGGGUAUGCCCCCAGGAAGCACAUCACCCAUGCCAGGUCACACACCUGUCGGUACUCCUCAUCACCAGCCAAAGUCACCAAGCGAGGCAAUGAAAGCAGACUAUAGCCGUUCACACUUUGACACUGUCA